AUGCAUGUCUAAGUAUAAGCACUUGUACUGUGAAACUGCGAAUGGCUCAUUAAAUCAGUUAUCGUUUAUUUGAUUGUACUUUACUACAUGGAUACCUGUGGUAAUUCUAGAGCUAAUACAUGCGAAAAAUCCCGACUUCUGGAAGGGAUGUAUUUAUUAGAUUAAAAACCAAUGCGAGUCUUCGGGCUCGUUUUCUUGGUGAUUCAUGAUAACUUUUCGAAUCGCAUGGCCUAGCGCCGGCGAUAUUUCAUUCAAAUUUCUGCCCUAUCAACUGUCGAUGGUAAGGUAGUGGCUUACCAUGGUUAUAACGGGUGACGGAGAAUUAGGGUUCGAUUCCGGAGAGGGAGCCUGAGAAACGGCUACCACA
rnacentral:rRNA from 6 species